rnacentral:rRNA from 1 species
AGCUAGUUGGUGAGGUAACGGCUUACCAAGGCGACGAUCUAUAGCGGGUCUGAGAGGAUGAUCCGCCACACUGGAACUGAGACACGGUCCAGACUCCUACGGGAGGCAGCAGUGGGGAAUUUUGGACAAUGGGGGCAACCCUGAUCCAGCCAUGCCGCGUGAGUGAAGAAGGCCUUCGGGUUGUAAAGCUCUUUCGGCCGGGAAGAAAUCGCAUGGGCCAAUACCCUGUGUGGAUGACGGUACCGGAAUAAGAAGCACCGGCUAACUACGUGCCAGCAGCCGCGGUAAUACGUAGGGUGCGAGCGUUAAUCGGAAUUACUGGGCGUAAAGCGUGCGCAGGCGGUUUUGUAAGACAGGCGUGAAAUCCCCGGGCUCAACCUGGGAACUGCGUUUGUGACUGCAAGGCUAGAGUACGGCAGAGGGGGGUGGAAUUCCACGUGUAGCAGUGAAAUGCGUAGAGAUGUGGAGGAACACCAAUGGCGAAGGCAGCCCCCUGGGUCGAUACUGACGCUCAUGCACGAAAGCGUGGGUAGCAAACAGGAUUAGAUACCCUGGUAGUCCACGCCCUAAACUAUGUCAACUAGGUGUUGGGUGGGUAAAACCAUUUAGUACCGUAGCUAACGCGUGAAGUUGACCGCCUGGGGAGUACGGCCGCAAGGUUAAAACUCAAAGGAAUUGACGGGGACCCGCACAAGCGGUGGAUGAUGUGGAUUAAUUCGAUGCAACGCGAAAAACCUUACCUACCCUUGACAUGCCAGGAACUUGCCAGAGAUGGCUUGGUGCCCGAAAGGGAGCCUGGACACAGGUGCUGCAUGGCUGUCGUCAGCUCGUGUCGUGAGAUGUUGGGUUAAGUCCCGCAACGAGCGCAACCCUUGUCGUUAAUUGCCAUCAUUUAGUUGGGCACUUUAGCGAGACUGCCGGUGAUAAACCGGAGGAAGGUGGGGAUGACGUCAAGUCCUCAUGGCCCUUAUGGGUAGGGCUUCACACGUCAUACAAUGGUCGGUACAAAGGGUCGCCAAGCCGCGAGGUGGAGCCAAUCCCAGAAAGCCGAUCGUAGUCCGGAUUGCAGGCUGCAACUCGCCCGCAUGAAGUCGGAAUCGCUAGUAAUCGUGGAUCAGCAUGUCACGGUGAACACGUUCCCGGGUCUUGUACACACCGCCCGUCACACCAUGGGAGCGGGUUCCGCCAGAAGUAGGUAGCCUAACCGUAAGGAGGGCGCUUACCACGGCGGGGUUCGUGACUGGGGUGAAGUCGGAACAAGGUAGCCGUAGGGGAACCUGCGGCUG